AAUGACGUGGUGUAAUGGUAACAUAUCGGUUUGUCGAGCCGUAAGCUGUUGGUUCGAAUCCAACCGUUAGUG
rnacentral:tRNA from 1 species